AGCAAACUCCCAGCUGCCCCUUCUUACUGGGCCAUGACUUAACUCUGGAAUGUGUUUUGACUCACUGACUGUAAUAGUGACUAAAAGGAACAUGUGGGAGUCAUCAAAAAUCUGCAGGUGGACCUGACUUUAAGAAAGAGAAACACUUAAUUGGGUACUUACUAAAUGUUUGUCAAAUGGAUUUGAAUAUUUUGUGAAUUUUAUAUUCACAUAAAGGAUUCAGAAGAAAGCGCAACUGAGAAAUGUCCAAAUAUGGUGAAGACACUUCUUCUAGAGUGAAAGACAUAAAGAAAAUAGGCUAACUCCUCUGGGGAGAGGAGGAAAAACAUAAUUUAUAUCUCUAUGUAUAAUGAACUAAAACUUUAUUGCCAAAACUUUAAAAAUGUUUGUUUAGAUGGAACUCAGCAUCUAAACUUUUCUAAAAACCCAUGAUACGUGAGAGAAACAAAAUCAGUCCUAAAAUUACGGUCUGUAAGCAAGGAGACUUUUUUUUCUAGAAUACUAUGAAACAAUUUUUUUAAUGGAUCAUCUGUUCUCAUGAUAUUUCUAUUACUCCUUCCAGAAUGGGUUUACAUAUUAAAUAACAAAGCAGAAGCUACCAUUUCCAGGGAAGAGAAUGCAUCAAAUUAUGUAUGAUUUUAUCAAUCCUGAUUAACUGCACAGCCACAAAAUCAACACCAUCCUUGUCACUCCUAUAGGCGCUUGAUGCCUGAGUUCUACAUUUCCUGUUUUAUUCCUGUGCACUCAGCACAUCUAUCCACUUUAGUGAAUUGAUUU
rnacentral:antisense_RNA from 1 species